UACGGGGGGGGCAAGCGUUGUUCGGAAUUACUGGGCGUAAAGGGCUCGUAGGCGGCCAACUAAGUCAGACGUGAAAUCCCUCGGCUUAACCGGGGAACUGCGUCUGAUACUGGAUGGCUAGAGGUUGGGAGAGGGAUGCGGAAUUCCAGGUGUAGCGGUGAAAUGACGUAGAUAUCUGGAGGAACACCGGUGGCGAAGGCGGCAUCCUGGACCAAUUCUGACGCUGAGGAGCGAAAGCCAGGGG
rnacentral:rRNA from 1 species